rnacentral:rRNA from 1 species
ACGAACGCUGGCGGCAUGCCUAACACAUGCCAGUCGCACGAAGGCUUCGGCCUUAGUGGCGCACGGGUGCGUAACGCGUGGGAAUCUGCCCUUUGGUUCGGAAUAACAGCUGGAAACGGCUGCUAAUACCGGAUGAUGACGAAAGUCCAAAGAUUUAUCGCCAGAGGAUGAGCCCGCGUUGGAUUAGGUAGUUGGUGGGGUAAAGGCCUACCAAGCCGACGAUCCAUAGCUGGUCUGAGAGGAUGAUCAGCCACACUGGGACUGAGACACGGCCCAGACUCCUACGGGAGGCAGCAGUGGGGAAUAUUGGACAAUGGGCGCAAGCCUGAUCCAGCAAUGCCGCGUGAGUGAUGAAGGCCCUAGGGUUGUAAAGCUCUUUUACCCGGGAAGAUAAUGACUGUACCGGGAGAAUAAGCCCCGGCUAACUCCGUG